GGCUUCGACUGUAGAAUCGUUCUAGGCAGUAGACGUAUAGCGGGAGAUUGUUAAGUGAUCAUUUCGUCUUCAGGACUGGAGUAUUCAAUUCCUCCGUGAUUUAUCGCAUCGUAAUUGGUUGUGUUGUGAAAUUUUUACGGAAAAAAAACCGUAUAUCACGCGGCUGAACUACAGUUGGUGCCAGAGGUUUCAAUCGGUUAUCGUCACGUCGUUGGUAAAGUUCUAUAAACCCCGGGCUUCAGCAAGGAUAUACGGUGUACGAGGUUGACUGUUUUACCAAUAAAGCUUCACGCAUGACAACGCUGGUCUUUACAAACAGUAACUAAGUACCAUAGUACCAUCACUACCACACGCAACUACCACACGCAACUACCACCUCCGUCGCUCGAGACAAGACGACAUAAUGUUACGAGAAACUUGAAAGAUUAUAUUUGGCUGCUCGGGUGAUCGGUAUCUUAUUUCUGCACACACUUGUUGAUGCAUUGUUUCCCCGAGGUACUUGUACAAUAAUGCGGCUGAAGAGACGUAUUUUCAAGUCGGAUGUUCGUAAGGUGUACAAAACUGAACAUAAGCAAAUAAUCAAGUGUGAGAGCCCGAGGUGAAGGAGCCUUAAUGGUGGAGGAAGAGAGCGAGAGUUCAAAGAUCUGUUGGCGGCCUAAC